rnacentral:misc_RNA from 1 species
UGCUAAUCAACUGUUCUUCAAAUUCAUACCCACAUAUGCUUAUUAUCCGAUCCCACAUCUUCUCCAUCGCCGCUACAUGAUGUCAUCACCACCGAUAUCGGCGGCGGUUGCCCACCUCUCCCUCUCCGACCUCUGCUCCUCCACCGUCCCCGAUUCCUUCGAAAACUCUCGCCAAUUCUCCGGCUACGCUCGCCGUCUCCAGCUCCUACUCAACCAGCUUAUUCGGUCGUCC